GAGUUUGAUCGUGGCUCAGGAUGAACGCUGGCGGCGUGCUUAACACAUGCAAGUCGAGCGAAGCACUUAAGUCUGAUUCUUCGGAUGAAGACUUUUGUGACUGAGCGGCGGACGGGUGAGUAACGCGUGGGUAACCUGCCUCAUACAGGGGGAUAACAGUUAGAAAUGACUGCUAAUACCGCAUAAGACCACGGUACCGCAUGGUACAGUGGUAAAAACUCCGGUGGUAUGAGAUGGACCCCGCGUCUGAUUAGGUAGUUGGUGGGUAACGGCCUACCAAGCCGACGAUCAGUAGCCGACCUGAGAGGGUGACCGGCACAUUGGGACUGAGACACGGCCCAGACU
rnacentral:rRNA from 1 species